rnacentral:rRNA from 1 species
AGCGAACGCUGGCGGCAGGCUUAACACAUGCAAGUCGAGCGCCCCGCCAGGGGAGCGGCAGACGGGAGAGUAACACGUGGGAACAUACCUUUUGGUUCGGCACAACUGAGGGAAACUUCAGCUAAUACCGGAUAAGCCCUUACGGGGAAAGAUUUAUCGCCGAAAGAUUGGCCCGCGUCUGAUUAGCUAGUUGGUGAGGUAACGGCUCACCAAGGCGACGAUCAGUAGCUGGUCUGAGAGGAUGAUCAGCCUCACUGGGACUGAGACACGGCCCAGACUCCUACGGGAGGCAGCAGUGGGGAAUAUUGGACAAUGGGGGCAACCCUGAUCCAGCCAUGCCGCGUGAGUGAUGAAGGCCUUAGGGUUGUAAAGCUCUUUUGCCCGGGAAGAUAAUGACGGUACCGGGAGAAGAAGCCCCGGCUAACUUCGUG